UUUGAUGGCGACCGGCGCACGGGUGAGUAACACGUAUCCAACCUGCCGAUGACUCGGGAAUAGCCUUUCGAAAGAAAGAUUAAUACCCGAUGGCAUAGUUCUUCCGCAUGGUAGAACUAUUAAAGAAUUUCGGUCAUCGAUGGGGAUGCGUUCCAUUAGGUUGUUGGCGGGGUAACGGCCCACCAAGCCUUCGAUGGAUAGGGGUUCUGAGAGGAAGGUCCCCCACAUUGGAACUGAGACACGGUCCAA
rnacentral:rRNA from 1 species